CCAGACGUUGAGCCUACUUCUGUCUCUGACACUAAAUGCAUCCCAGCUUGAGUUACACGGGAAGAACACUUUCACCUGCACCCGGGAACGCUGCUGCACCUGAGAGGCUGGAGGCUCUGAAAUACCAACGGAUAAAGAAGCCCAAAAAGUCAUCCAAGGGCUCUUCGAAGUCAAAGAAACGAUCCGACGGUUCUGCCUCCCAGACUCAGCAGCUUCCCAGCUCUCAGGUUCUGUGGCCCGAUGAAGCUGUCUGCCUCCGAAAGAAGAAGAGACAUUCUCGUCCUGACCCCUUUGCCCGCCUCUCAGACUUGUGCCACCGCCAGCUUCCGGAAGACCAGACAGCGAUUCUCAACAGUGUGGACCACGAUGACCCAGGCCAUGCCACUUUGCUGUGACUCCACCCCACUCUAGGUGUCCCCGGGGCGAGGUUGCUGGGCUCAGGCAGGGAGGGCCACUGUGUGGGGGUGUGUCCUCCUCCGCCUGCCAAGGGCGGCCCAGACCUUUGUCCUGCAUGCCCCCUCUUUUGCCAGAGCGGGUGUCUCCCUCCAGAUCCUGGCCGCCUGUCUUCAGGACGGAGGGUGGGCACACCUUCCACCUGUGGGCCGAGGUCAGGAAGUGGAUUGGAGACUGGGCGACACCUGUCUCCUCCCCUCCGCCCCCUGCUUCACUAGGUUGAUUUUUCUCAUCUCUUCCAAUGUCUUUGGGAGUGAAGAGGAAAGCAAUGGCUUUUACUGCUCUCUGCUUCUGUUUCAGUUUUUCAAGUCCUGGAAGAAGGUUGGACUUAAUGUCCAUCUUCCACACCCCACAUAUAUAUAGAUAUAGAUACAGAUGCAUAUGUCUGUAGUGUGUGGGUUUCUCUAUGUGUGUAUAUAUAUAUAUAUAUAUAUGUACAUUGAGGCAAA
rnacentral:sRNA from 1 species